CGCAUCUUCUAAAUAUUGCUGGGCGAAAUUAAUGAUGAGAAAACAACAACGCAAAAAAAAAAGCAAAUCCACGGAAGGCUGAGUUGAUCGGUGAAUCAGUCCAUCUCAAUCUGCGUUUGUUCUUUUGUUUGUUGU
rnacentral:ribozyme from 12 species